rnacentral:rRNA from 1 species
UACGUAGGGGGCGAGCGUUGUCCGAAGUUACUGGGCGUAAAGCGCGCGUAGGCGGUUUCUUAAGUCUGGGGUGAAAGGUUCAGCGCUCAACGCGAACAGUGCCUUGGAUACUGGGAGACUUGAGUCUGGGAGGGGGCAGUGGAAUUCCUGGUGUAGCGGUGAAAUGCGUAGAUAUCAGGAGGAACACCGGUGGCGAAGGCGGCUGCCUGGCCUAAGACUGACGCUGAGGUGCGAAAGCGUGGGGAGCGAACGGG